GCUUGUCUCAAAGAUUAAGCCAUGCAUGUCUAAGUAUAAGCACCCUUAUACAGCGAAACUGCGUACAGCUCAUUAUAUCAGCAAUUAUUUAUUUGAAGGUCACCUAUUACAUGGAUAACCGUGGUAAAUCUAUGGCUAAUACAUGCGCAAAGGCCCGACCCUGAAGGGCUGUAUUUAUUAGAUCUAACCAUCAUUUGGUGAAUCAUAGUAACUGAUCGGACCGUGCGUUAGCGCGGUAAAUCGUUCAAGUUUCUGCCCUAUCAGCUUUCGAUGGUAGUGUAUUGGACUACCAUGGCAGUCACGGGUAACGGAGAAUUAGGGUUCGGUUCCGGAGAGGGAGCCUGAGAAACGGCUACCACAUCUAAGGAAGGCAGCAGG
rnacentral:rRNA from 1 species